rnacentral:rRNA from 1 species
UGAAUACGAGAUGCUACGGCAUCGAAGCAGUCUAUGUCAUACUUCCAAGAAAAGCUUGCACUGUCAUAAACAAAUAAUGCCUGUACCAUAACCGACACAGGUGGGUAGGUAGAGUAUACUAAGGGGCGCGAGAUAACUCUCUAAGGAACUCGGCAAAAUGACUCCGUAACUUCGGGAGAAGGAGUGCCUUAUUUUAUAAGGUUGCAAUAACAAGAUCCAAGCAACUGUUUACCAAAAACACAGGUCUCCGCUAAGUCGUAAGACGAUGUAUGGGGGCUGACGCCUGCCCAGUGCCAGAAGGUUAAAGAAGUUGGUUAGCAUUAGCGAAGCUGAUAACUGAAGCCCUGGUGAACGGCGGCCGUAACAAUAACGGUCCUAAGGUAGCGAAAUUCCUUGUCGGGUAAGUUCCGACCCGCACGAAAGGCGUAAUGAUUUGGAUACUGUCUCGGAGAGGGGCUCGGUGAAAUAGACUUGUCUGUGAAGAUGCGGACUACUUGCACCAGGACAGAAAGACCCUAUGAAGCUUUACUGUAACUUGAGAUUGAAAUUGGACUUUAUUUGCGCAGUAUAGGUGGGAGACGUUGAAAAUAUUCUUGCGGGAAUAUUGGAGUCAUCAGUGAGAUACCACUCUUAUAAUGUUAGAUUUCUAACUUUGUAUCAUUAUCUGGUCAAAGAACAGUCUCAGGCGGGCAGUUUGACUGGGGCGGUCGCCUCCCAAACGGUAACGGAGGCGCACAAAGGUUUCCUCUGAACGUGUAGAAAUCGUAUCUAGAGUGUAAAGGCAUAAGGAAGCUUGACUGUGAGACCUACAAGUCGAGCAGGGACGAAAGUCGGUCUUAGUGAUCUGACGGUGCUGAGUGGAAAGGCCGUCACUCAACGGAUAAAAGUUACUCUAGGAUAACAGGCUGAUCUCCCCCAAGAGUUCACAUCGACGGGGAGGUUUGGCACCUCGAUGUCGGCUCAUCGCAUCCUGGGGCGGUAGUACGUCCCAAGGGUUGGGCUGUUCGCCCAUGAAAGCGGUACGCGAGCUGGGUUCAGAACGUCGUGAGACAGUUCGGUCCAUAUCCGGUGUAGGCGUUAGAAUAUUGAGAGGAGCCUUCUUUAGUACGAGAGGACCGAGAAGGACAUACCUCUGGUGUACCAGUUAUCGUGCCAACGGUAAACGCUGGGUAGCUAUGUAUGGAGAGGAUAACCGCUGAAAGCAUCUAAGUGGGAAGCCCACCUCAAGAUAAG